GCUACACAUGCAGUCGAGCGCGAAAGGCCUUCGGGCUGAGUAAAGCGGCGGACGGGUGAGUAACGCGUAGGAAUCUACCUAAUAGUGGGGGAUAACGUUUCGAAAGGAACGCUAAUACCGCAUACGUUCUGAGGAAGAAAGCAGGGGAUCGCAAGACCUUGCGCUAUUAGAUGAGCCUGCGUCCGAUUAGCUAGUUGGUGGGGUAAAGGCCUACCAAGGCGACGAUCGGUAACUGGUCUGAGAGGAUGAUCAGUCACACUGGAACUGAGACACGGUCCAGGCUCCUACGGGAGGCAGCAGUGGGGAAUAUUGGACAAUGGGGGCAACCCUGAUCCAGCCAUGCCGCGUGUGUGAAGAAGGCCUUCGGGUUGUAAAGCACUUUAAGCGGGGAGGAAGGCUCUAUGGCUAAUAUCCAUGGGGAUUGACGUUACCCGCAGAAUAAGCACCGGCAAACUUCGUGCCAGCAGCCGCGGUAAUACGAAGGGUGCGAGCGUUAAUCGGAAUUACUGGGCGUAAAGCGCGCGUAGGUGGUUUGGUAAGCGAUAUGUGAAAUCCCCGGGCUUAACCUGGGAACUGCAUGUCGAACUGCCAGGCUAGAGUAUGGUAGAGGGGUGUGGAAUUUCCUGUGUAGCGGUGAAAUGCGUAGAUAUAGGAAGGAACAUCAGUGGCGAAGGCGACACCCUGGACCGAUACUGACACUGAGGCGCGAAAGCGUGGGUAGCGAACAGGAUUAGAUACCCUGGUAGUCCACGCCGUAAACGAUGUCAACUAGCCGUUG
rnacentral:rRNA from 1 species